AUUGAACUCUGGCGGCAGGCCUAACACAUGCACGUCGAACGGGUGGCGGACGGGCGAGUAAUGUAUGGGAAACUGCCUGAUGGAGGGGGAUAACUACUGGAAACGGUAGCUAAUACCGCAUACCAUCGGAUGUGCCCAGAUGGGAUUGGCUAGUAGGUGGGGGAACGGCUCACCGAGGCUACGAUCCCUAGCUGGUCUGAGAGGAUGACCAGCCACACUGGAACGGAGACACGGUCCAGAAGCCUACGGGAGGCAGCAGUGGUGAAGAUUGCGCAAGGGGCGCAAGCCUGAUGCAGCCAUGCCGCGUGUAUGAAGAAGGCCUUCGGGUUGUAAAGUACUUUCAGCGGGGAGGCGUUACGCGCAGAAGAAGCACCGGCUAACUCCGUGCCAGCAGCCGCGGUAAUUC
rnacentral:rRNA from 1 species